rnacentral:tRNA from 1 species
GGAGAGGUGGGUGAGUGGCUGAAACCACCGGUUUGCUAAACCGACGUACUCUGAAAAGGGUACCGGGGGUUCGAAUCCCCCUCUCUCCG